rnacentral:rRNA from 1 species
CCUACGAGAGGCAGCAGUAGGGAAUCUUUCACAAUGGGCGAAAGCCUGAUGGAGCAACGCCGCGUGCAGGAUGAAGGCCUUCGGGUUGUAAACUUCUUUUAAGAGGGAAGAGCAGAAGACGGUACCUCUUGAAUAAGCCACGGCUAACUACGUGCCAGCAGCCGCGGUAAUACGUAGGUGGCAAGCGUUGUCCGGAUUUACUGGGUGUAAAGGGCGUGUAGCCGGGCUGACAAGUCAGAUGUGAAAUUCCGGGGCUCAACCCCGGACCUGCAUUUGAAACUGUUGGUCUUGAGUAUCGGAGAGGCAGGCGGAAUUCCUAGUGUAGCGGUGAAAUGCGUAGAUAUUAGGAGGAACACCAGUGGCGAAGGCGGCCUGCUGGACGACAACUGACGGUGAGGCGCGAAAGCGUGGGGAGCAAACAGGAUUAGAUACCCCUGUAGUC